rnacentral:rRNA from 1 species
GACGAACGCUGGCGGCGUGCUUAACACAUGCAAGUCGAACGGAAAGGCCCUGCUUUUGUGGGGUGCUCGAGUGGCGAACGGGUGAGUAACACGUGAGUAACCUGCCCUUGACUUUGGGAUAACUUCGGGAAACUGGGGCUAAUACCGGAUAGGAGCUCCUGCUGCAUGGUGGGGGUUGGAAAGUUUCGGCGGUUGGGGAUGGACUCGCGGCUUAUCAGCUUGUUGGUGGGGUAGUGGCUUACCAAGGCUUUGACGGGUAGCCGGCCUGAGAGGGUGACCGGCCACAUUGGGACUGAGAUACGGCCCAGAAUCCUACGGGAGGCAGCAGUGGGGAAUAUUGCACAAUGGGCGGAAGCCUGAUGCAGCAACGCCGCGUGCGGGAUGACGGCCUUCGGGUUGUAAACCGCUUUCGCCUGUGACGAAGCGUGAGUGACGGUAAUGGGUAAAGAAGCACCGGCUAACUACGUG